AUGUCAUGAGGAGGACAUUUCUUAAGCAAAUCAUUUAAUUGCUCCCAUGCCUCAUAAAACAUUUCCCUAUCCACUUGUGAGAAUUCAUGAAUUGAAGUUCUCAUUAC